GACGAACCGUGCGAACGUUAUUCGGAAUCACUGGGCUUAAAGAGCGCGUAGGCGGAUUGCCGCGUCGGAGUCUGAAAUCCCCCGGCUCAACCGGGGAACUGGAUCCGAAACGGGCAGUCUUGAGGGACGUAGGGGGGGCUGGAACUUCCGGUGGAGCGGUGAAAUGCGUUGAGAUCGGAAGGAACGCCCGUGGCGAAAGCGAGCCCCUGGACGUCUGCUGACGCUGAGGCGCGAAAGCUAGGGGAGCGAACGGGAUUAGAUACCCCGGUAGUCCUAGCCGUAAACGAUGGACACUGGGUAGGGGGCUCGCCGAUGGGCUCCCUGCCGCAGGGAAACCGUGAAGUGUCCCGCCUGGGGAGUAUGGUCGCAAGGCUGAA
rnacentral:rRNA from 1 species